UGCAGUCGAGCGGGGAAAGUAGCUUGCUACUGGACCUAGCGGCGGACGGGUGAGUAAUGCUUAAGAAUCUGCCUAUUAGUGGGGGACAACAUCUCGAAAGGGAUGCUAAUACCGCAUACGUCCUACGGGAGAAAGCAGGGGACCUUCGGGCCUUGCGCUAAUAGAUGAGCCUAAGUCGGAUUAGCUAGUUGGUGGGGUAAAGGCCUACCAAGGCGACGAUCUGUAGCGGGUCUGAGAGGAUGAUCCGCCACACUGGGACUGAGACACGGCCCAGACUCCUACGGGAGGCAGCAGUGGGGAAUAUUGGACAAUGGGGGGAACCCUGAUCCAGCCAUGCCGCGUGUGUGAAGAAAGCCUUUUGGUUGUAAAGCACUUUAAGCGAGGAGGAGGCUACUGGUAUUAAUACUACCGGAUAGUGGACGUUACUCGCAGAAUAAGCACCGGCUAACUCUGUGCCAGCAGCCGCGGUAAUACAGAGGGUGCGAGCGUUAAUCGGAUUUACUGGGCGUAAAGCGUGCGUAGGCGGCUUUUUAAGUCGGAUGUGAAAUCCCUGAGCUUAACUUAGGAAUUGCAUUCGAUACUGGGAGGCUAGAGUAUGGGAGAGGAUGGUAGAAUUCCAGGUGUAGCGGUGAAAUGCGUAGAGAUCUGGAGGAAUACCGAUGGCGAAGGCAGCCAUCUGGCCUAAUACUGACGCUGAAGUACGAAAGCAUGGGGAGCAAACAGGAUUAGAUACCCUGGUAGUCCAUGCCGUAAACGAUGUCUACUAGCCGUUGGGGCCUUUGANGCUUUAGUGGCGCAGCUAACGCGAUAAGUAGACCGCCUGGGGAGUACGGUCGCAAGACUAAAACUCAAAUGAAUUGACAGGGGCCCGCACAAGCGGUGGAGCAUGG
rnacentral:rRNA from 1 species